GGCAAGGUGGCCGAGCGGUCUAAGGCGCGCGGUUAAGGCUUCCUAACUCGGAUCCCCUCUCUUGAUCUCAUCAAGUUUCCGCGUCAUUAAUUUGGCGUGGGUUCGAAUCCCACCCUUGUCA
rnacentral:tRNA from 1 species